CCAAAAGCUCCCCCACCGGGUGUAGCGAAUAUACAUGUUGAUGCCGCAUGUCGCAGGGGCACAAGUGAUGUUGCAGCGGCAGUUUGCAGAGAUGCUAAUGGUGUAUUCUUGGGAAGCUCAGCCCUUGGUAUAGCUGGUGUGGAUGACCCGGCAAAUCUAGAGACGAUAGCGUGCAGGGAAGCACUAGCUCUAGCCCAAGAUCUCAAUCUCCGGGAGGUGCUAGUGGCCUCGGAUGCUAAGGCAGUCGUGAAUGCUAUCAACAAUUCGGGUCAGGGGUCGAAUGGAGCAAUUAUAGCAGAAAUAAACAGCUUAUCUUCUUUACUUAGCUUUACUUUUACUUUUGAAUCUUGUGCUGUUAAUGUAGAGGCACAUAGUUUAGCAGCAUGCUUUUUCACUGGGACCGGGGCGCCACCUGUGGCUAGGCCAAUCCCAUGA
rnacentral:rRNA from 1 species